GCCCGGUUAGCAUAAACAGUAAUGCAAUUGUUUUGUAAUCAAUUGAAGGGGGUGCGAUACCCCCACUGGGCU
rnacentral:tRNA from 1 species